GUGGUAGUUCAGUAGGCUACAGGCCAGGUCAGUGGUAGUUCUGUAGGCUACAGGCCAGGACAGGUCAGUGGUAGUUCAGUAGGCUACAGGCCAGGUCAGUGGUAGUUCAGUAGGCUACAGGCCAGGUCAGUGGUAGUUCAGUAGGCUACAGGUCAGGUCAGUGGUAGUUCAGUAGGCUACAGGCCAGGCCAGUGGUAGUUCAGUAGGCUACAGGCCAGGUCAGUGGUAGUUCAGUAGGCUACAGGCCAGGUCCGGUCAGUGGUAGUUCAGUAGGCUGCAGGCCAGGCCAGUGGUAGUUCAGUAGGCUACAGGCCAGGUCAGGUCAGUGGUAGUUCAGUAGGCUACAGGCAAGGUCAGGUCAGUGGUAGUUCAGUAGGCUACAGGCCAGGCCAGUGGUAGUUCAGUAGGCUACAGGCCAGGCCAGUGGUAGUUCAGUAGGCUACAGGCCAGGCCAGUGGUAGUUCAGUAGGCUACAGGCCAGGUCAGUGGUAG
rnacentral:lncRNA from 1 species